GACGAGGAUAACCCGUUGGAAACAGUGGCUAAGACUGGAUAGGAAGAUAAAAGGCAUCUUUUAUCUUUUAAAAGACCUAGUAAUAGGUAUGCUUUAGGAGGGGCUUGCGCCAUAUUAGUUAGUUGGUAGGGUAAUGGCCUACCAAGACGAUGAUGUGUAGCUGGACUGAGAGGUUGAACAGCCACAUUGGGACUGAGACACGGCCCAAACUCCUACGGGAGGCAGCAGUAGGGAAUUUUCGGCAAUGGAGGAAACUCUGACCGAGCAACGCCGCGUGAAUGACGAAGUACUUCGGUAUGUAAAGUUCUUUUAUCAAGGAAGAAAAGCAAAUGGCGAACCAUUUGUUUGCCGGUACUUGAUGAAUAAGCCCCGGCUAAUUAUGUGCCAGCAGCCGCGGUAAGACAUAAGGGGCAAGUGUUAUCCGGAAUUAUUGGGCGUAAAGGGUGCGUAGGCGGUCUAGUAAGUCAGUGGUGUAAUGGCAACGCUUAACGUUGUCCGGCUAUUGAAACUGCUAAACUUGAGUUAGAUAGAGGCGAGUGGAAUUCCAUGUGUAGCGGUAAAAUGCGUAAAUAUAUGGAGGAACACCAGAGGCGUAGGCGGCUCGCUGGGUCUUAACUGACGCUGAGGCACGAAAGCGUGGGGAGCAAACAGGAUUAGAUACCCUGGUAGUCCACGCCGUAAACGAUGAGUACUAAGUGUCGGGUUAAACCGGUACUGAAGUUAACACAUUAAGUACUCCGCCUGAGUAGUACGUACGCAAGUAUGAAACUUAAAGGAAUUGACGGGACUCCGCACAAGCGGUGGAUCAUGUUGUUUAAUUCGAAGAUACCCGAAAAACCUUACCAGGUCUUGACAUGUUUUUGCAAAAUGAUAGUAAUAUCGUGGAGGUUACCAGAAACACAGGUGGUGCAUGGUUGUCGUCAGCUCGUGUCGUGAGAUGUUAGGUUAAGUCCUAAAACGAGCGAAACCCUUAUCGUUAGUUGCCAGCACGUUAUGGUGGGGACUUUAACGAGACUGCCAAUGAUAAAUUGGAGGAAGGUGAGGAUCACGUCAAAUCAGCAUGCCCCUUAUGACCUGGGCUACAAACGUGAUACAAUGGCUGUUACAAAGGGUAGCUGAAACGCAAGUUCUUGGCCAAUCCCCAAAAACAGUCCCAGUCCGGAUUGAAGUCUGCAACUCGACUUCAUGAAGUUGGAAUCGCUAGUAAUCGCGAAUCAGCAUGUCGCGGUGAAUACGUUCUCGGGGUUUGUACACACCGCCCGUCAAACCACGAAAGUUGGCAAUAC
rnacentral:rRNA from 2 species